rnacentral:tRNA from 1 species
GCCGGGGUGGCGGAGUGGCAAACGCGCCGGACUCGAGAUCCGGUGAGCCUUUGGGCUCGCAUGGGUUCAAAUCCCAUCCCCGGCG